rnacentral:misc_RNA from 1 species
AAAAGUCGCUGUGCGUAUGGAAAAGAAUGGGUUUGUGCUAUUGACAAUUCAUGUUUCUGGGAAAUUGGUGAUGUUUAGAUCUGGUGAUACCAAGUGGUCUAUUGUUGAUGAGUCAUCUUUGCCUUACGAUGAUGUCAUUAUGAAAGAUGAGAACUUUUAUGCUGUUGAUAAUACUGGUAAGGGAGUGCUUGUUAAAUUGAACCCUGGGACAGCGCCAGAAUUACAAGUUGUUGCUCAUUCUGUGUUUGGGGGAGAUAAAAAGUUCCUUGUGGAGUCUUGUGGUGACCUUUUAAUGGUUGACAAGUAUUUGAGUAUUGGGCCUGAAGAUGAUCUUGGAUACAAUGAGACUGUUGAGUUUUACGAGGAAUUUGAUUGCUACAUGAGCGAAAGGACGGUUAAGUUCAAAGUUUAUAAGUUGGAUGGAGAUAUGCAGAGGUGGGUUGAGGUCAAUUGUUUGGAAGAUAGGAUGUUGUUUGUGGGGGAUAAUUGUACAUUUUCUGCUUUGGUCUCCGAGCUUGAUUCUGGGUGUAAAGGGAACUGUAUACUCUUCUCGGAUCAGUUUUUCUGCAGCACCGAGGAUGAUGGAGGAUUCUGGAAGCAUCACGGCAUUGGUGCGUUUAGUUUGGAAAAUGGCAGCAUUUGUCCUAUAAAUUGUUGCCGUGGCUAUGCCGAGUUGUUUUGGCCUCCUCCUCCUUGGAUUUGUUCUCCUCCAACUAUUGAUGCUGAGCUGAACGAGCUGAAAAUCUAAUUCUCUUGGAACUUGACGGGGAAUAAAAAGAAAUUAGCUAGCCAGAGCUGAUCAUAUGCUGGACUUCUUUAAACUGUACAUAUGGUUUUCUUCGGAAAUUGACAUUUCGCUCAAGGUUUAAGUCCUUAUGUGGCAUUGACUGGCACAAAUAAAUGAACAAGUUGUUAAAACUAUUUUCAUUGACAGUAUUAUGGUAAAGAAACAAGGAUCUUCAUGUGUU